rnacentral:rRNA from 1 species
UGGGGAAUAUUGCACAAUGGGCGCAAACCUGAUGCAGCGACGCCGCGUGGGGGAUGAAGGCCUUCGGGUUGUAAACCCCUUUCAGCAGGGAAGAAGCGAAAGUGACGGUACCUGCAGAAGAAGCACCGGCUAACUACGUGCCAGCAGCCGCGGUAAUACGUAGGGUGCAAGCGUUGUUCGGAAUCACUGGGCGUAAAGAGAGCGUAGGCGGGAUUGUAAGUUAGGAGUUUAAUGCAUGGGCUUAACCCAUGAUCUGCUUUUAAUACUGCAGUUCUUGAGUAUGGGAGAGGGUGAUGGAAUUCCAGGUGUAGCGGUGGAAUGCGUAGAUAUCUGGAAGAACACCAGUAGCGAAGGCGGUCGCCUGGCCCAAUACUGACGCUGAGGCUCGAAAGCUAGGGGAGCAAACAGG